GCCUCCGUAGCUUAAUAUACUAAAGCACCG
rnacentral:tRNA from 1 species